GGGGGUGUACUGGUUUCGACAGGUUUGUGUCUGAUAUCGACUGCAGUCGAGCGGUUACGUAAUAACCAACUAAAUUUAAUUGCUAAAAACAAAUUUAUGUCUAUCUUCGGUGGAAACACUCAGGUAGCUUUCGCUGCUUAAUAACCUAACAUUUGGUUCGCAGCUGCAGAUGAUUGUUUAGCCUUUCGGCUUUCAUUCUGUAACAGAAAGAAAGGAUAAGGGGUUGCCGGGUCUCAACGGCAAUUCACGAAAAUCUACAGAGACACCUUAGCAGGUAAGUUUGUUCAUCACUGACUGUUAAGUACUAAGAUGAACUAAACUGUAGACGUCGAUAUGUGGGGCCACUUCUGGACAGGGGUUCGAUUCCCCUCACCUCCACCA
rnacentral:tmRNA from 2 species